rnacentral:misc_RNA from 1 species
AACUAUUCCACGUGGACAAAGUUGCGGGUAGAAGCUAGUAGAAAAUAAAAUUCAGAUAAUUUAAGUAUGCUGAAUACAGCUUUCUCCCUUUGCCCUCUACUUCGCAGGCACCACAAGGACUUACUUUUGAAAAAACACUAGAUUCUACAUUAACUGAACGUGAGAAGAUCCUGCUGAGUCAUUUGACUCAAACUAAAUUAAGCUUAAAGCAUUUGGCAGUCGAAAUGCGAACUGUGAGGAAGACACUUAUAAAUUGUUUGUAGCUUAUAACGAUAUUAGCGGGGUCCGCACUGACAUGCCUAAUAGAAAUAAUAAUGAUGACAUUCAAGUUGUUGAUGAG